GCAUCAGUGAUUUACUGGUAGAAUUCUCACCUUCCAUGUAGGAGACCUGGGUUUGAUUCCUGGCCCAUGCC
rnacentral:tRNA from 1 species